GAUUAUCUCCUCUCGUUUGACUGUUUGAUUUUGAGACUUGUUUGAGUCACGUGGCCAUUCUUUAUGUGCUUUUCUGCAAGAAACAUAAAAAUCAGAUAUAGAUAACGACAACGAGCACUGAAUAGAAAGAUAUGGAUGAGGAGUCUGAAGGUGAGAGUGGGUCCGAGGAUGAGAGUGAUUUAGGUUCAACCAACACCAACAGUGAUGUUCGCCUUCCUCUAAAAGUUGCAAGGGUUCAAGAUGAUUCUCAAAGCUGCGAAGAAGUUUCACAGCACAAAUCUCCCUCAAAAAAGGUGAAGAUGGGUUCACAUUCUUUUAACGAUGAGUUAUUUUAUUCA